UCCCUGGUGGUUUAAUGGUGAAAGAAUCUGCCUGUAAUGCAGGAGACACGGGUUCGAUCCCUGGGUUGGGAA
rnacentral:tRNA from 1 species